GACGAACGCUGGCGGCGUGCUUAACACAUGCAAGUCGAACGGAAAGGCCCUGCUUUUGUGGGGUGCUCGAGUGGCGAACGGGUGAGUGACACGUGAGUAACCUGCCCUUGACUUUGGGAUAACUUCAGGAAACUGGGGCUAAUACCGGAUAGGAGCUCCUGCUGCAUGGUGGGGGUUGGAAAGUUUCGGCGGUUGGGGAUGGACUCGCGGCUUAUCAGCUUGUUGGUGGGGUAGUGGCUUACCAAGGCUUUGACGGGUAGCCGGCCUGAGAGGGUGACCGGCCACAUUGGGACUGAGAUACGGCCCAGACUCCUACGGGAGGCAGCAGUGGGGAAUAUUGCACAAUGGGCGGAAGCCUGAUGCAGCAACGCCGCGUGCGGGAUGAAGGCCUUCGGGUUGUAAACCGCUUUCGCCUGUGACGAAGCGUGAGUGACGGUAAUGGGUAAAGAAGCACCGGCUAACUACGUG
rnacentral:rRNA from 1 species